UUCAUAUUAUUAGUCACGUAAAUUUUGACAAUUUUUAUAGAUAUUGUCAUAAACGAUUUGAUCAUUUAAACAUACUGUUAACAUGUAUGUUUCUAUAAUUAUGAUUUUGAUGAUAACAAACACGUUUAAAAUUGAUUAAAUUUGAAAAAAAUCUUUAAUCGGAUCAAAAUACUUAAGCCGUAUAAUAAUUGAGCAAAGAAUAAUUUUCUGGAAAUAAACGCAUUCAUGUUAACUCAGAAAACAGCUAACCGAUUACCUUGAAGUGAGAUUUCAUUAAUUAUGGAUGCAAUCGGCUAACCGUUAGUGGUAAAACGGCUAACCGACAUCGUACAGAAUUGAAGUCUAACUUUUAGAUGCUAACGGCAAAUCGUUUAUUAGAAAAUGGUAAGUUGACAACUUUUUGCAGGUCUCUGAGCACUAACAACAAUCCGACAUCAAGAAAACGAUGAUCUGACAAUUUGAAAUUAUAAGCAUAACAGUCACUUGCUCAAGUUAAAAACGGGGAUCCGACAAUGGCUAACAGUGAUUUGAUUGUGUGCAAGUCAAUAACAACUAAUUUUCAACUAAUUUUCUGGAAAUAAACGAAUUCAUGUUAACUCAGAAAACAGCUAACCGAUUACCUUGAAGUGAGAUUUCAUUAAUUAUGGAUGCAAUCGGCUAACCGUUAGUGGUAAAACAGCUAACCGACAUCAUACAGAAUUGAAGUCUAACUUCUAGAUGCUAACGGCAAAUCGUUUAUUAGAAAAUGGUAAGUUGACAAUUUUUUGUAGGUCUCUGAGCACUAACAACAAUCCGACAUCAAGAAAACGGUGAUAUGACAAUUUGAAAUUAUAAGCAUAACAGUCAUUUGCUCAAGUUAAAAACGGCGAUCCGACAAUGGCUAACAGUGAUCUGAUUGUGUGCAAGUCAAUAACAACUAAUUUUCAACUCCAACUAUAAAAAGAUUCAAUCAAAUUCUAAUUCUAAUAGGAUUCUACAAUUAUCAUUGAGCUUUUCAUUGAGUAUACAAUCUUUCUUUAGCAUUAAACUUGUGAUUGUUUCAUUAAGUCACACUUUGAACUUUCAUUUGUAAGCAUAUACAUUGUAUGAGGAAAAGCUUAUUUGUAAUCUUUAUUUUUGAUAAUUGUAAGUGUGAGAAACACUUGGGUUAAGAGAUUUGAGAUAAUCUCUUGUUAUAAAGAUUAAUUAAUACCUAUGAAGUCAAUUGUAAGAGUUCUUGAAAGUCUUGGAGGAUUGGUUAGUGGAAUCCUCAAGCCCAGCAAUCUUGGAGGCGUGGAUGUAGGCAGGGCUUGGCCGAACCAUGUAAAAAUCUCGUUCAAUUCUCUCUUUCCUUUUGUCUUUAUAUUUUGAUUGUUUUACUUAUUAUUGUUUUGAAUUGGUUUUAUAUUUGCAUUAAUUUUUAUUCAAACACUGCACAAUUUGUAGAAACCCAAUUCACCCUCCUACUUAGGUUGCAUAACUAGUAUUUCAUGUAUUGUCUAGUGUCUACACUUAUAUGUACAUAAAACCUACUAGACCCACCAAGACUUUCCUCCUCAGAUCAAUUAAUUAAAGUAUAAAUAAUAUGAAUUUCGUACAAAAAUGAAUUGAAAUGUAAACGAAAAAGGAAAUAAAUAUCACAUUUUGACGAAAAAAUUGUACAAAUUGGGCUACAGAUCAUAUUCUGUAUGUAUGUAUAGUUUGCGCAAAUCAUUUUACGUCUUUAACGACAUAGCAAAAGAAUAUAACAAGAUAAAUAAGUACAAUUUUGUAACAAGAUUGCAUGAUUGGGAGAAUACUCUUUAUUUUUAUCUUCACUUAUUUUCUACUCUUCCACUAAAAACUAGGGUAAAAUCAAGGGUAAGUACUCGAAUGCUCAUUAUAUUUUAGGUUAAAUAUUCAUUUAAUUCUUAUAUUUUAAAAAA
rnacentral:lncRNA from 1 species